UGGGGAAUAUUGGACAAUGGGGGGAACCCUGAUCCAGCCAUGCCGCGUGUGUGAAGAAGGCCUUAUGGUUGUAAAGCACUUUAAGCGAGGAGGAGGGUACUGGUAUUAAUACUACCAGGUACUGGACGUUACUCGCAGAAUAAGCACCGGCUAACUCUGUGCCAGCAGCCGCGGUAAUACAGAGGGUGCGAGCGUUAAUCGGAUUUACUGGGCGUAAAGCGUGCGUAGGCGGCUAAUUGAGUCGGAUGUGAAAUCCCCGAGCUUAACUUGGGAAUUGCAUUCGAUACUGGUUAGCUAGCGUGUGGGAGAGGGUGGUAGAAUUCCAGGUGUAGCGGUGAAAUGCGUAAAGAUCUGGAGGAAUACCGAUGGCGAAGGCAGCCAUCUGGCCUAACACUGACGCUGAGGUACGAAAGCAUGGGGAGCAAACAGG
rnacentral:rRNA from 1 species